CUUUUUUGGAGUUCUGACCCAACCCUGCUUUUUGCCACUUUUCCAUUUGCCAUUCAUAUUUCAGCAGGGUUCUGGUAAUAAUUCCAUUUGACCUUAAGACAAAUGCAUUACCAAACAUUAAACAAAGAGCAGCCACCAUGGACCUGAUGUGUGACCUCAUUCCUUCUAACAUUUAAGGAAACAACAGUCUUCUAAGAAUGAUGGGACACUUUUUUCCUGAAGGUGCGACACUUAUGAUGAAAUAUGUGCUCUCUAAAAAAGAGCACAGAAGACGAGAAUAUAAAGGGACUUUAUCCUGCCCGAGGGGGAAAAUCAUCCUACUUCCAUAGUGUGCUGGGGAUUGCUUCACACACUGUCCACUGCCGCCACCCACUGCAGUCUAUGGCAGCACAUGGUGGGAAUGGUUUGGAGGACUUGUGUUCUGAGGUCAUCAGGAAGACCAAAAUGAUCUUUUGUACUGCAAGGUGCUAACACUUGAUAUAGAUGAAAAUCUACAUAAACCAACGUAUCUGUCUGCAACAGGUAGGUACUAUUUAAAUGCCUUUUAGGGAGAAGGGAGAAGGUCUGAAGCUUGGCCGUGUCUUUAGCUUCUUUCCCAAUAUCUAGGCUUUGCCAUCCAGGAAAAAUCCAGAGCAGUGUACUAAAUCAAAGUAAUUGAUUGCAAAAAAAAAAAAAAAAAAAAAAAAGUAAUUGAUUGCUUUACUGAGUGGUAACUUGACAGUUUAGAGAGUUGGACUUCUGUGGUUAUUGUUUGUAUAAAUAAUGUGUUUUAUGAACCAUAGUGAUAUGUGAUAAAAUCUCAUAAACACCUAUAGAUGUACUCAAAUCACCUUAGAUUAGGUAGUGGACUUUUAAUAAAACUUCUGCACAUUUGCUUGUAGAUUUCCUG
rnacentral:lncRNA from 12 species